AUGGUAUGGAUGAUUUGCUUCGCUUGUUUUCUCUCUGACAGACAGCUGAAGGCCUGUUGUAUGAACUGGUUAUAUAAAGAGAAAUCCAAACUUGUAUUAGAAAGGAAUGAUCCUCUGAGGGGAGAAAAAAGAGCUGCCUGCACAGAGCUGUGGAUGGAUUCUUCAGACACAGAGCAAGCAGUAAGUGGAACAGUUUCUACUGUACUUGUUUAAAUCACAGAGAGAAACGUUUCCUGAAGCUUUGCAUUGCUGAAGUUUGGGUCUGCCUUUGAAGUUUUCCUCAAUAGUGAUACAUUCCCUGCCAGGUUACAUGAUAAAGAUUAUCCUUUUCUGAGGCUCUCUCGAGGGAAGAAAAGCUUCUUCAUACAGGUUCCCAUGCCGUCAGAGUGGCACUGCUGAAACAGAAGUGUUGCCUACUGCUGAAUUCUCCACUGGCAUCACACUGAAGCAUCAAGUUUGUCCAUCUCAGGGGAGAGUUGUAGUUUAAGUUCUUGUUUCUGAGCUCCAGCAAAUAAAUGUUAAAGCUUUAAAGAAAACAAACAAACAAAUACAGCCAAACUGCUGAAUAUUCAGCGCUAAGUCCCUGGUACCUGAUGGAACUGUGGCUCCCCUCCUUGUUCAUGUGUAUGUACACAGAGUGAACUCUACACAGUUGCCCAAUUAGCUCUGCUCAAAUAGUCACAGCAAUAAAUUCAGCUUGGGGACUUCUAAUCCAAGUGCCUCCCUUCAUAGCAAAAAAAUUGGGGUAAUGGUGUGACUCUUUUAGAAGUGGCAAUAAUAGAAACUGGCUAUUAGGUUACAGUAACCUCUUUAUACCCAACAUCAAAAGCACAUUUACUUUUCCCUCCAGAUGCUUCUUCCACAAAGGUUUUCCUGUUUCUUUGCCUUAACACUUCAACUUUUACUGGAGCACUGCACUGGGACGCGUAGCUUAAUUUGUUGCAGUGCUAAAUGAGCAAAAACAUGAUAGAUAGGAACAGCCCUUGCCCUAAAAAAAGCGCCAAAAUAUGUAUUGGCUUAUAGCCAAGUAAUCCAACUUUUGAAGGAGUUACACCAACACAAGGAAGGUUGUAGCAGUUCUGUGUAAAGUUUAUUUUAAAAAUUAAAUUAGGAAAAAAACCCCCAAACAACUCAUGGGCCAAAUUCUGUACUUAUUUAGGAAGGAGUGAUAAUAUUCAGUUGACAGAAUUAAGGGUUCUGCAAGUACAAAGGACGUUUAUGGAAAGUUAUUAUUUCUUGUCAAC
rnacentral:lncRNA from 1 species